AAAUUACAAUCUGGUUUUUUAUCCUGCUAAAAAAGGUGGAUUUUAUAAAGCUAUUUUAAUAAAUGUCUGGGAAAGAGAACUUUAAUUUUGAUUUUAGUGUUCAGUAAGUGACUCGCCUUUCUGAUAAAUUAGUUGUGAAGUAGGAGUAGUUCAAAUUUUGAAUAUUAGUAAAUUGUGCAGUUGAACAGGGUUAUGCAAUAAAUAAAAAGUUUCAAAGUCAAUAAACAGCAGCUCCAUCAAAAUUUUAUUCUGUAAGGUUUCUUUUUACAAUAAUUUUAUUUAGCUGUGGCAGUUAUACAAUACAAAAUCAUUUGAUUUACCAUGAAUGACCACUAGUGAAUAUCUAUAGUAUAUACAUGUAUAUAUGUGAAAAUUAUUAUUCUUUUUGAAUCAAUAUGGAUGGAUACUUUGCAAGUUGAGAAUUAUCAAAAUAUCAGUUCUCCGAAUGUUGUACAUGCAGCAAGUAUGUUUCAAAUCUUAUUUUUCAUUCUGGUCUCCUCAUAAGAUUGUGGCAUUAGGAAAAUAAGUUGUAGAAAAGUUGCAGAAAAAUUUACCGAAUGGUAAAAUAUAAUACUAUUGUAUAUUUGAAGAUGAGUUAUAAAUGGCUUGUUUUGUUGUGUGUUUAACAAUGCAUGUGUUACACAUAUUUUUAUGCAGAAUAAAUGUUCUUUGAAUGUAAACCCAUUAAAAGUUUAAAGUUUUGUAUAAAUCUGAUCCUUACUGUAUAAUCCUAAGUUUUCAACAUCAUGUAGAAAUAUAUUUUCAGUUAGCACAACUCUUAUUGUUAUAGAACUGGCUUUAUUAAUCUAGGUUUUAGUUUCCUUUAAAUCAAAUCUGUAGAGUUACUUAUGUGAAAUUCUUGGCAAACUUAUUGUGUUGGACAUACAGCUUUUUAAAACCUUCCAUGAUUUGAUUAUCUGUUCAUUUACUUGGUUUUGCUUAGAAUUCUGACCAUCAGAAUGAAUUUCUUGUUACUAUAGAUCAUUAUUUUUUUACCAGUUUCAUCAUUAUACACCUGUACCUUUUCUGUUUCUUUUAUGCAAGCAAUACCAGCUGUGCUGUGAAAUAUAAGCAAUAAAUAGUAAAACAUUGAACAUUUUGUUUUGUUUAUAAAUUAAUCUGUCUAUAAAACAACACUGUCUGUUAGGUUUUUUUUGUUUUUCUUGAUAAAAUCUUGUAGUUGUUUUAAUUUGAUAUAUUAUUCUGAAUAAAUUCUAUAGCAGUUAGUUUUAACAUCAAUACAUUUACUAAAAUGUUUAUGUUAAUUUUCAUUUAUUUUUAGCUCAGUUGAGCAUUAAUUGCUCAAGAUGAGCUUUUAUGAUCGCCCUGUGUCCGAUAUUCAUUGUCAACAUUCGAAAAUUGCAUUUUGCUAUGCUGGAUCAAUAAAUCAGUAAAAACUGUUUUUGACUUAUUAAAAUUGGUUAAUAAGUUUUAAUCAACAGGGGGGUUGCCUCUUUUCCCACAGAAUACUGCUGGAUAAUUUAUGUAUCAUCCAGUAGAAGAUCAAGCUCAUUUCCUUAACCUCUUUUACUCAGGUGAGUGAUCUAGGGCCAUCAUAGGCCCUCUCAUUUUUUUUGUGUAAAACCAAAUGUUGUUGUCUGCUGUGUUGGUUUUUGAUUUCUAUAUUAUGCUGAAAUCCAUUGAUCAAAAUUUUUGAAUGUUUGUUUGUUUUUGUAAGAGGUGUAAAUGAUGUUAAAAUAAUUUUGUACAUUCCAGGUAGAAAAAUACAUUUUUUUUAUAAAAAAAUACCUACUCUGAAUCGAAAUACUAAACUCUUAAUUUGAAAUAUGCAAAACAAAUUCAUUAAAUUCUCAUUGAAGGCAUAACCUAAAUUUUGUAUGGCUAAAAUCAGGUCACAGGUUACAUUUACAAGCUAAAGAUAGACAUAUGUUGCUAUUACACAAAAUCUAAAAUUAGACAAUAGUAUUCCACGGAUAAUAAUCAUAUAUUGUUUAUACAAAAAUUAAUAUUGUACAAUCGUGUAAUAUUUCUGAGAAUAGAAUAAAUUACAUUUAAAAGGGACAAUGUUGUUGUUUUCUGGAAUUCAGAACUAAUGUAUUAAUAUGAACUUGUUCUUCAUUUUUUUUGUUAUUUUACGUGUGUAGAAUAUCAUUUGCAAUGAAUUUCAGGAAAAUGUUAUAAAGCAACAAAAUCAUGGCAAAAUUGAAGUUCCUAGCAAAAAGUUAUUGUCAUUGACAACAUCAAGAGCUGUUAAAACUGUUUCCUAAAAUUACUUUAUUUGACAAAUGGUAAUUCUUUGAUAAUAAAUAUGCUCAGAUUCCAGUGUGUCAAUGUUUACUUUAGAAGGUAGUUUUAACCAUUAAUCUGCUAAAUUUGUAGAAUGGACUUGACCUGCUUUGAAUUUUUGAAACAGUCUAUUCAAAGUCAAAUGAAUUUCAACAUAAAAAAAACAGGGGAAAAAUUGAGCUACCAACAAUGUAGAGCUUGAUCAGACUGCAUAAAUGUUAAGGCUGGCCAUGCUCUAUAAUGGUGGCAAAAGCUAGUUUUAUUUCCCACAGGUUAAGGGGGCGUUGACGACCAGGUGGUUAAGGUUGUGAGGAAGCUUUCCGGCUAGCUUACGUAACAUCGAUGGUUCUACUUAGGUGCCUGCUUGUGCCUGAUGUACAGAGGAGCACCUGAGGUCUUCCUCCACUAGUAAAGCUGGAAACUUGCCACAUGACCUAUACUGUGUUGGUGUGACAUUAAAUCCAAACCCAACCCAGCAACAGGUUAAUGGUUGAAAAAAUUUGUUUAAUAAAUGGUUUAAUACCUAAAGUAUCUAUCAGUGACAGAUAUAUGUUCAGGCUAAGCAAUACAGCAUCAAAAUAUCUGGUAAGUGGUCAUCUACCUCAAGCAUAUUUUGUAAUACAGAUUGUUUGUAGAUCAUUAUCAUACAAUACCAUAAUUCAUGCUGCAUGCUAAAUUUUAAAAUGUUGUAAGAUUGGGUAUUUUUCUUCUAUUUUUACUCAUUUUUUGAUUAUUUGAAUAGAAAACAAUUGUUCUUCAUUUUUGAAAAAAUUGAGAAUUUUUUUUUUUAGAGGAAGUAUUAUGGGAAAAUGUUUGAUAUUAGUCCCUGAGUAAUUGAUUAUGUAAUGUUGGUCUUGUGUGAAAUGCAAUGAGCUGUAUGCAGGCUGUUGUCCCAUUCAUGGAUGAAACUUUGUGUCAGAUUUGUCUUGCAGAGACUGUCAGUAUCAAAUACAAAAUCUGAGCAGCUAACGUUAUAGUCUCGGCAAAUUAUGCUCACUGGCUCGGCUGAAAUCUGUUGGAAAAAUCAGAAUCAUUUGUAGCAUUUUCGAGUUAUCUUGUUUUAUUUUUCAAAUUGCAAUAUAUGUAAAUGGCAUCUAAUUUUAUUGGUGUACUAUAUGUAUCAAUUACUUUAAAAAUGUCAGAUGUUUUGUUUUUUUGCACCAAUGAAAUGUGAUAAUCGAUUAAAUCUAAGACACAAAUUUUUUUACAGCGAUUUUCUGAUUCUUAAAUAAAAUUCUGAUUAAUUUACAUUAACUGAAUUGGUUGAUGAAAUCCUAGAGUUAGUCCCCAAUAAUGUCAAUGGACUUCCAAUAUUUCAUUCACAUUAUGACAUUUUUCAUCAUUUCUUGAGUUCACUGAACAGUUCGCAAAAAUUUGAUUAUUUCAUGGACAGCCUAUUUUAACAGUAUCUAUUUUUAAAUGGAGAAACAGGCUUUUAAAAAUAUUUUUUAUUUAAAUGCCAAGGUUUAAAUCUAGAAUACAUUUAAAGAUAAUAGUUGAUUUCUAAAUUAGGACAGUAAUAAUUAUGUUUUGGUCCUCCUUUAGAUUAUAUACAAUGUAUAUUACUUUGUGGAGUCACUAGGCAGCUACUUUUACUACUAAUUAUAGUCAAAGUAUCAUGAUGUACAUGAAUAAGUCAGUUGUGUCAAAUCAAAGGGUAAAUGUUUUGGAUUUUAUGUGGAAAAUUAUGAAGUUCUGAGAUGGAAAAAAGUAAGGCAUUAAAAUGUUGACCUUGUAUGUCUGAUGCUGAUUAUCAUGAAUGUGUAUUUCAGAAGGUUACCUAGAUAUAAAAACAGCUUGAUGCUGUUCAGUGAGGCUAAAUUUACUGGUCAAAUCUUGAAUGUCACUUACGGACUAACACUUGUCACAACAAUUUGUUCUGAAAAGAAGUUUAACAAUUGAUGUUUGAAAAUCUGCUAUUGACUAUCAUGAGCUUAUAGUAAUAACAAAAAUCACAGUUGUGUUUGAAAGGGAGGAAAUAUCAUUCAUACUAGAAUUCAAAAGUGCUUCCAUUUUUUAUGAGACCCUUUUUUGAGGAUUACAUAGCUAAAUCAAUAUAUCACUUUAUAUAGUCAUAAUAUUAGGGACUUGAGUUUUUUUUUUUUUCUUUUAUAUUUUUUUUUUAGAUUUCUUUUUCUUUUUUUUUAUACAUGGGUGUAAAUGUUAACCUUUAAACUGUGUAAGUCUCUGACAAUGUGUAAGGUUUUAUUUGUAUACUUUUUAUUUUGAUAAGAUACUGUAGUCUAAUUGUUAAGUCUGGAAUGAUGUAGGCUUUGAUGAAUUAAAAGAAAAAUAUCUCUUUAAA